UGCAUCUCAUUCUUUAGAUAAACUUACUCAAAUCCAUGGUGUAUAAUUAGUGCGCUUGAUGGAAAACCGUCUCUCUGGCUGGUGAAGAUCUGGCAGCCUCGCCAAGAGUAUCGCAGAUCCAGUUGUUGGACUCCGGCUGUUUCUGAGCCCCUAAGAGCAGGUUCUCUGUGGCAGCGAAGGUCAGGCUGUGCCCAGGCUGAUGGUCUCACCCUCCAUGCCAGCCCAGGUGUUGCCCGUGGAGGACGGGUCACGGGACGGCCCGUCUCCGGAGGGGAUGUGAGAGUGCAGAUGACCUUUCCCCAUUUCGGGGAGGUGGCGUGAAAAACAGGAAGGGGGCACCGCCAAGAAUUCCCUGGUAUCAUUGACCGCCCCAAACCGUCUGGCCUGACUGACAGAGUUUGCUGCUGUACUGACGUCUUCUCCCUCCACGUCCUGUUUUCUCUUCUCCUGCCUGCUGCUGCUGGCUCUGUGUGAUCCACUUAAAAGGAGAUCUUUGCUUGAGGAGCCCAUGGAGGCAGUGCGACCUGAGGUGCUGUUGUGUUAAUGAAAUGGCACUGAAAGUGACGGGCUGCUGUGACGAGGAGGAGGAGGAAGAUGACGACGACAACGCGCAGGAAGAAAGACGAGCUACUCUGCUGCCUGCGGGUGAGGUGGCCUCCAGAGAGCGUUUUGUAAAGGAGGCUAAUUAAUUAACAGACUCGUUAGUCAACUCUAAUUACACAGUUGGUUUAUGGCUAAUCAGAGGACAGAGAGAGGCAGACACACUGGUUGCUCCUGUGAGUGUGAACGGCGUCUGUCUUUCUGUGUUUGUGAUUUUUUUCAUAUGA